CCGGUAAGUCAAUGGAAAAGUCCAAAUCUUUUAGUCUGUUGUAUUCCUGGGAGACAUUUUGCAGCUCUUUCCUCUCUUCUACAAGUGACCUAACUUUGUCAAUGAUAUCGAGAGACUGACCUUCCUCAGGUGCAUCUAUGUUUGACAAGAUGGUUUCAAUAUUCUCAAUGACAGAGCUCCUUGAGGACACCAUUUCCUGAAAUGACGCAACCAAAGCUUCGGAUUUUACUAACUCACCUUUGAUGAGUUCAGAUUCAUCCAUCGCUGUUGACAUCUCUUGUAGCUUCAUCAAACACUCUUCAAGUUGUUUUGUUUUCUCAGCCAGAGACUGUUCCAACUCGUUCUUUGCAAGCUCAUAUGCUUCCAGGGAUGCAGACUGAUCACGCAAUUGAGUAUAGCACUUCUCGAGUUCAUUUGACUUUUCAGCUAACGAUUGUUCCAGCUGCCCCUUCGCUACUUCGGAAGUUUCAAGGGCAAUCUUCAUCUCCUGUAACUCAUUCAACCUAUUCUCAAGCUCAGUUGUUUUCUCAGAUAUUUGAUGCUUGAGAGCAUCCCGGUUCUGAACUAACGCCUUCCCCUUUGUGACAGCCAUGCUGAGCUUCUCUUUCGUGUUAAUAAACCUUGUCUUUUCUUGCUCAAGCUCUGCCUUCAACUUUCCAGACUCUGCAUUCAUCGACUCAAUCAUCUCUCUAUCUCUGUUCACUUGCUCAACCAGUUUCUUAUUUUCAUCUUCUAGAAGGCCAAGUCUUUCGUAAAGCGAUGUUUCCUUCUGUUUGAGCUCAAGUAACUCAGAACAAGCACCACGGAGAGCUGAACCAAAAUCCUCUUGGAAACGAAGAUCCGCCUCAGCACUAGACAAACACUUCCUCAACUGAUCAGCACCGUAGUAAAACUCAGUAUACUUGGCACUUAAAAAGGCAACACCGUUCUCAAGAUGAGCAAUCUUCUCAGAGACGGAAGAGCCGUGCAUCAACUGUUGUUGCCCAAACACAUUACUAAGAGAAACCAAAACCCUAUCAGUUGCAGCCACAAGUUGCUCCUCGUCCUGUGAGGAAGAAAGCUCAGAGAUUUUGGUGGAGAGAUGAGCAAUCUCGUCGUCCUUGCCACUGAUAAUCCCACGAAGCUCCUUGAGUGCAUCCUCAUGCUGAACCUUGUCUUCCUCAGCAGUUUCUAAAAACUUUGAGAAACGGCAGAGUAUCUCCACGGUGUUCGCAUCUUCUUCACCUUUGGAAACGUUCUUCACAGCAGUCAAGAGGUUAAACUGUUCCUGCAACACUGCAAGUUCCUUCUCCCUAUCCACCUCCUUGUCAUUCUGUAACAUAAAAUGAACAAAGAUCCUUUCAAUAAAUACAAAUUAAAAAAUCAACAGACACUGGAUUAUUUACAUUAUCAUCGUCGUCGUCGUCUGUGGUGAGAGCUUCCUUGCUAGGUGUAUCGAAAUUCAACUCUUCGGGAGCAUCAACGAACAUAUCUUCCUUACUGUCGACGAAGGCUGUUCCCUGCAAAAUCAAUUAUUUUUUACCCAAAAUUUCAGCAUCUGAAAUUAACAAACAUUAAACGAUUCGGAAAAAAAAAAAAAGGAACAUUACAAAUUCUCACCUGGUCAGGAGGAUCAAGCUCUUGCUGCUCAUUUGACUCGUCAUCGUUCUCGAUUCCGUCAGCUGCAGAAUCAACCGAAUCCUGAGGAAGAUCAUCGGUCUCUUCCAUUAUGAAAAAUGAUUCCCUCAGCCAAGUUAGGCGAGUUUCUAAGCUGGAUUGGGAAAGCUCCUCCGGUAAGUCAAUGGAAAAGUCCAAAUCUUUUAGUCUGUUGUAUUCCUGGGAGACAUUUUGCAGCUCUUUCCUCUCUUCUACAAGUGACCUAACUUUGUCAAUGAUAUCGAGAGACUGCCCUUCCUCAGGUGUAUCUAUGUUUGACAAGAUGGUUUCAAUAUUUUCAAUGACAGAGCUCCUUGAGGACACCAUUUCCUGAAAUGACGCAACCAAAGCUUCCGAUUUUACUAACUCACCUUUGAUGAGUUCAGAUUCAUUCAACGCUGUUGACAUUUCUU
rnacentral:lncRNA from 1 species